rnacentral:lncRNA from 10 species
GAAAACCACAGUGUGGCAUCAGGAAGCGGAGGGCAUAAAGGGCUUCAAGGAAGAGGGAGAGACCACCCCAUUGGUGCUGCUGGGAGUUCUGGAGGCCGAAGUCUGCAGUCAAGGUGUGGGCCGGGCCCGCUCCCUCUGAAGGCUGCAUGGGAGGGUUCUCCCCGCCUCCUCCAGCUCCUCGUGCUGCAGGCAGCCCCUGGCGUCCCUCCGCUUGCAGAGCAUCAUGCCAAUCUCCACGUCUGUCGCCACACAAGCUUCUCCCUGUGGGUUUCUGCCUGUGUCUGUUUUCCCUUCUUCUAAAGACUAUUGGAUUCGAGUCCACCCUCAUCAAGUGUGACGUCCUCUUACAUGAUCACAUCUCCAAGACCCUAUUCCAAAUAAGGUCACAUUCAUAGGUCCUGGGGGUAGAGCUUCAACAUGCUUUUUCACGGGACACAAUUUAACCCAUAACAUCAUACACAGAGGCCAGAGAGGCCAGCCUGCCUGACCUUUGGGGGAAAUACUGCUGAGGAGCAUCAGGGAAUGAGGUUGGAGGAGGAUGUGAGGCAGGCGGGGUUCUGGGUGGUCUCAGAGAUGACGCCACA